AACGAACGCUGGCGGCAUGCCUAACACAUGCAAGUCGAACGAGACCUUCGUGUCUAGUGGCGCACGGGUGCGUAACGCGUGGGAACCUGCCCUUAGGUUCGGAAUAACUCCCCGAAAGGGGUGCUAAUACCGGAUAAUGUCUUCGGACCAAAGAUUUAUCGCCUUUGGAUGGGCCCGCGUUGGUUUAGCUAGUUGGUAGUGUAAAAGCCUACCAAGGCGACGAUCCAUAGCUGGUCUGAGAGGAUGAUCAGCCACACUGGGACUGAGACACGGCCCAGACUCCUACGGGAGGCAGCAGUGGGGAAUAUUGGACAAUGGGCGAAAGCCUGAUCCAGCAAUGCCGCGUGAGUGAUGAAGGCCUUAGGGUUGUAAAGCUCUUUUACCCGGGAUGAUAAUGACAGUACCGGGAGAAUAAGCUCCGGCUAACUCCGUG
rnacentral:rRNA from 1 species